CGCGGGGUGGAGCAGCUCGGUAGCUCGCUGGGCUCAUAACCCAGAGGUCGCAGGUUCAAGCCCCCGCUACAA
rnacentral:tRNA from 1 species